GACGAACGCUGGCGGCGUGCUUAACACAUGCAAGUCGAACGGAAAGGCCCUGCUUUUGUGGGGUGCUCGAGUGGCGAACGGGUGAGUAACACGUGAGUAACCUGCCCUUGACUUUGGGAUAACUUCAGGAAACUGGGGCUAAUACCGGAUAGGAGCCCCUGCUGCAUGGUGGGGGUUGGAAAGUUUCGGCGGUUGGGGAUGGACUCGCGGCUUAUCAGCUUGUUGGUGGGGUAGUGGCUUACCAAGGCUUUGACGGGUAGCCGGCCUGAGAGGGUGACCGGCCACAUUGGGACUGAGAUACGGCCCAGACUCCUACGGGAGGCAGCAGUGGGGAAUAUUGCACAAUGGGCGGAAGCCUGAUGCAGUAACGCCGCGUGCGGGAUGACGGCCUUCGGGUUGUAAACCGCUUUCGCCUGUGACGAAGCGUGAGUGACGGUAAUGGGUAAAGAAGCACCGGCUAACUACGUG
rnacentral:rRNA from 1 species